CUCUGGCUGUUGUUGACCUUGUUUUUGGAGUAAAACACGGUAGAAGCUGAAUUAGUGAGGAUGACUCCUGCUCCUGUCAUCUCUAAACUCCUCCCACAUCUUUACCUGCACAUGAGGAAAAUCACUCCUGUAGAAUGCAGGUAUGUUUGUCAUUAUUAUAAAAAGAUGUUGCCUGGUGACCUGUCAGAAACCCAUUAUACAGAAUCAGCCAAAAUAAUGUUUACACACAUCAGGAAAAGAAAAACUUGCAUAAAUAUUUCAAUACCAAAUUUAUUCAGACAUCCUGAGAUUAAUAAAAGUUAUCUUUGGCCUCUACAAUUACAAGAGGUGCUCAAAGUGGUGGCCACUGGCUUCCAGACAUUUCUGUUGUGUUGUAGACGUCACUUGUUGGUGCUCCAUUCAUGAGGGUAGCGCCAUCUGUUGGGAAAACAUCGUACAGCAGGACACAGAGUUAUUGUGAUUUGAUCAAACUUAGAAAGAGGAAUCUAUAUGUAUAGAAGUACUUAUACAAAUGAAAUAUUUAUAAAAGUUUUUCUUUUCCUGAUAUGUGUACAUUAUUUUGGCUGACUCUGAACUUAAUGAGAACAAAGCUGUCAUUUAAUUGUUGCUCUGAAAGCUUCUUUAGUGAAAACCAGCUGGUGUUCUGCUAUGAAACAAACUGCUGUUGAGGUCUGUGUUUUUAUGUUUAACUCCACAGUUUCUGAAUGAACUGAUAGUUUGUUUUUUUUCAUGAUCAUUGUGGACAUUAUAAUUGAUGGUAACAUUUACUGAUCACAUAAUCAGCAUGACAAUAUAACAGUAUAACAUUAUGGCCACCUGACUAAUACUGUGUUGGUCCCUUAAUGCUGCUAAAACUCCUCUGACCCAGUGGUUCAUCAGAACCUCUGGGGAUGUCCUGUGGAUUCUGUGGAUCCUGUGGGUUGCAGGGUGGGUCCUACCUAGACCAGGCUGAUCCUGGACCAUCCCACAGAUGCUCCAUCAGAUGUGGAUGUGGGGAGUGUGGAACCCAGAUGUUCAGAGGGAGAUGAUGCCACAUCUGGUCCAGCUGAUGGAAGGUCUUGAAGUUCUCUGACUGGCCUCGACUGAAGAUGGUCGUCUCACUGGAUUUAAGAGAUGCACAAUGAGGGACGUCUGCAGAGACUGAGAAAGAGUCUCACCACAUCCUGACAUGAGGAAAAAGACUUUAUUGAAGACUACAAUGAGAAAAACUAUCAGACAGCAGACGGCUGCAUUCAAGGUGAGCUCUGAACAUUUAAUCUGGAACAGGAAUUCAAUAACGGCAGCAUGAGCUUCAUUUCAGUCUGUAGCUGCUGAAUUCAUGGAUGAAUCAUCUGGCACUAGAGAAGACCAUCAAACAUCCACGUCAGCUGAUGGAGGUCCAAGAGUCUCACCAAACAAACAACCUACAGAGUGAAGACCUCAGCUCUGAUUGGACGGCCUCCUAUUCAGCCACGUGUGUGAACAAAUGCCUCUAAGCUGAUUUGUUUUCUAAAAUAAAUCUAGUUUGAGUCCUAAUCUAUGCCUGUGUGUUUGCUUCUUUACACGGCUGUUAACAGUUUAGGCUGUUAGAUUGUUCCAGAUAAGACAAGUACAAGAUUCUUCAGAGCCG
ensembl:lncRNA